GGUUGUGGCUCAGUGGUGGAGUGCUUGCCUCACAUGCAUGAGGGACUGGGUGGAUCCUCAGCACCACAUAAAAAUAAAAUAAAGAUAUUGUGUCUAAAACUAAAAAAUAAAUAUUAAAAAAAUAAAGAUAUUAUGUCUAUGUACAGCUAAAAAACAUUUUUAAAUAGACCCUGUUUCCAAAUAAAAAAUUUAAAAGUGCUGGGGGUGUAGCUCAGUUGCAAAGCUUCCCUGUGUUCAAUACCCAGUACCA
rnacentral:tRNA from 1 species